rnacentral:rRNA from 1 species
CAAGCGGUGGAGCAUGUGGUUUAACUCGAAGCAACGCGCAGAACCUUACCAGCCCUUGACAUGGCCACGACCGGUUCGGAGACGAACUUUCCCCGCAAGGGGCGUGGUGCCCAGGUGCUGCAUGGCUGUCGUCAGCUCGUGUCGUGAGAUGUUGGGUUAAGUCCCGCAACGAGCGCAACCCUCGCCUCUAGUUGCCAGCACUUUCAGGUGGGCACUCUAGUGGAACUGCCGGUGACAAGCCGGAGGAAGGUGGGGAUGACGUCAAGUCCUCAUGGCCCUUAUGGGCUGGGCUACACACGUGCUACAAUGGCGGUGACAGAGGGAAGCCAGGUCGUGAGGCCGAGCCGAUCCCUAAAAGCCGUCUCAGUUCAGAUUGCACUCUGCAACUCGGGUGCAUGAAGGUGGAAUCGCUAGUAAUCGCGGAUCAGCACGCCGCGGUGAAUACGUUCCCGGGCCUUGUACACACC